rnacentral:rRNA from 1 species
GACAGAGGGGGCAAGCGUUGCUCGGAAUCACUGGGCGUAAAGGGCGCGUAGGCGGGAUGGCAAGUCGGUCGUGAAAUCCUUCGGCUCAACCGAAGAACGUCGGCCGAUACUGCCGUGCUUGAGGACUGGAGAGGAGACUGGAAUUUACGGUGUAGCGGUGAAAUGCGUAGAUAUCGUAAGGAAGACCAGUGGCGAAGGCGGGUCUCUGGACAGUUACUGACACUGAGGCACGAAGGCCAGGGGAGCAAACGGG